UACGGGGGGGGCAAGCGGUUGUUCGGAAUUACUGGGCGUAAAGGGCUCGUAGGUGGCCAACUAAGUCAGACGUGAAAUCCCUCAGCUUAACUGGGGAACUGCGUCUGAUACUGGAUGGCUUGAGUUUGGGAGAGGGAUGCGGAAUUCCAGGUGUAGCGGUGAAAUGCGUAGAUAUCUGGAGGAACACCGGUGGCGAAGGCGGCAUCCUGGACCAACACUGACACUGAGGAGCGAAAGCCAGGGAGCAAACGGG
rnacentral:rRNA from 1 species